CAUUUUCCCCUUCUUUCGUCCCUCCUUCCUCUCUCUUCACUCUCUCUCUAUACUCUCCCAGACCCCCGCCGUCUCCGCCCCGCGCCGCCCAGAGGAAUUCGCCACCGGCAGCGGCCAACCUCCAAUCGACCCUAUUUUUUCACCAUCUCUUUGUCUCUUCCUCCUCUUUCCAUAUCCAAAUCCCAAAUCCCUGAAAUCCCCACCAAAAUCUACAAAUCUAGCCAAAUCCGAAACCCUAGACGCCACCCGCUGCUGCUCACCGCCCCAAAUUUCAAAAUUUUAACAACACCGGCAUCCUCUCGCUCCCCUCUUCUCCAUUCCAUGCCUCAAAACCUUCAAAUCCCUCCAGAAUCCAACUGAAAUUCGGUUGAAUUCUGGCAGCAGCCCUCACUGCCACGACCACCACUACCUCAUCAACGCUGAACUCUAAUCCAGGACGAGCACGACCCUGUUGCCUCUUUUUUCUCUUUGAAAAUUUCUGGACUUAACUUUGUCUCGUCAAAGUUCGUGAGUUUUUUGGCAUUUCUCAUCGGAAAAAAAAAGGCGUGGAGGUCGAUUCGCCACCUAGUUGUUUUUUACUACUGGUAUGGAGCCCGAUUGUUUAGGUAAAAUCAUAAUCCCAUGUUCACAUUUUUAAUUUCUCCUUGUUGACUGAUUUUUAGGUUUCUAGUUUAGUUUAAGUUAUAUUUUUUCUUAAUUAAUGAUUAGUCAUCUUUUCAGAAGUUUUGUUGUUUAUUUAUUCGUUUAGGCCAUUGCUUUAGUCUUUUUCCUCUUUUUAUAACUUCUUUUUCCCAGUUUGUGUUUAGGUUUAGUUUAACUUACAUAUUUCAAUUAGUUGUUAAUCUAUGAUUGCAAGUUCGUGUCAGAUUCAUUGACAAUCAUCAAUGAUUAAUUGUUAUUUACACUUAUUGAAUCAUGUAUUAGUUAGUAUGUCAUUUUAGUUUGUCGUGAUGUUCUCGUUUAGUAAUCAGUUAUAUUAAUCCCUUCGAUGUGAAUAUAUGUUUGUUGGUCUUAAUGCUUGUUAUGUUUUCAGACUUCAACUAAAAUUUUGAGGUCUCCAAACUAUAAGUGAGAUAUAAAAACCGUCAAUUCUAGCUUCUUUAAUUUCUUAAUUUGAUCGUUCUUUGUCUUGAAAUUUAGGUUCUGUUAAUCAAUGGUUCAGUUUACUUAUAUUAGUAUAUUUGGAGUUUGGCAAUGAUGUUUAGUCGCUUUUUAGGCUUGAAUCACCUAUUGAAUUGCAGUUUCGAGUUUAUCCUUCUUACAUUGUCUUUGAGUUAGUAGUUCACGUAUAUAAAAAAAAUUAGUGUUAGUCCUAAUUAACUAGAUUAAGUUUAAAGUAGUCAUUUAUUAUAGGUAAGUUAUAUGUUUGAGUCUUGUUGAUUCCUACUUGUUGACUCUUCACUAAUUUUAUUCGAAUUACUAACCGUCUGAACUAGAUUGAAUUUUGUUUCUCUUUGUGGACCAGUUAUCUUUGAAUUUAGUUUGAGAAAUUAAGAGGAAAGGGAUAGAAAAGAGAAUACUUGAGAGGAGGGUUCUUUGUUCUUGCUUUUUGCUGUUGCGAACUGUUUUGGAUCACAAUGCUUCAAAAUUCUGUCAGUAUUUGUUGAGAACAACUGUUCAUUGGACAGAAAUCUGAUUUUGGACAGGUUUUUGAUAAAAAUCUAUCAUUUUGGACAGAUUUUUGGCCAAACAAAAUCUGUCCCAAGCCCCCCCCCCCCCCAUAAAAANNNNNNNNNNNNNNNNNNNNNNNNNNNNNNNNNNNNNNNNNNNNNNNNNNNNNNNNNNNNNNNNNNNNNNCCAAGCCCCCCCCCCCCCCUUCCUUAAAAAGAGGAGCUCUUUCCUCAUUUCAAGAACAUCUUGGACUCUAAAAAUACACUUCUUCCACACUUAGAAAAAGAAUACAACUUUAAGAUUAAAAAGAGCAGCUAAACACCUAAAUAGUAAGCUGAAAAUUCUGAGCUAGAGUGACUGAUUUCUCAAAUGCAAAACCUUUAAGAAAAUAGAGGGAUCUUGUGAGGAAUUUCUAGAGGGUCUCAUUUCUAGUUUCAAUUGCUUUGUUGGUCAUCUCUGGUUCAUUUUCUUUUGUCUUAGAGCUGUUGGUUGCUGUUAUGUUGCUGUGUUGCUGCUUGUUCUGAUGUAAUCUGGAAAGAGUUGAUUUGCUGAAUUUUCUUCUUCUUUUUGCUGUCCAGGUAACUUUUAAGCCAUGUAAACUCCUAAAAAUCAAGUUGGAACGAAAGCAAUGGUGUUUGAAAAUAUUAGCAGCUUCAUUCUUGCAUACUUUUGAAUAUUGAAUAAUGUCAUGAAUGUGUGUUAGUUAAUUAAACUGUGCCAAGCGUCUUUAGUCUCUUGCCAAAGUUUAGGAUACAAUUCUGCUUGGCCUCAGCUGUGUGGUUGUAGGGAGUAUCCCUCAGUGGUGUGGUUGUGGAAAAUGAGUAUGUACAAUAUUUUGAACCAUUCAGUUUCAUGUGUCACUCUGUUUGUUGUCCAACUAAACUCUUUUUAGUCAUUGACCACUGUUUGGUCAUACUUAUAAUUUUAUUUUAAAGCUAAGUGGUCUCAUUUACAGUAGUAGUCUUGCUUAGACUUUUGCAAAUGGAGUUUUAGUUAAGGUUGAAUGAAUAUGGUUAAUAUAGUUUCUUUGUUUCUCUUGCAAUAAAAGAGGUUAUUUU
rnacentral:lncRNA from 1 species